UUGUAAGUACUUAUAGCACAGCCCUAUUAAUUUAAGGAACUGAUUCAUCAAGCUGUGUUGCUUGCUCAGCUAUUCAAAGUUGUUGUAAUAGUGUUCCUUUACUUACCUCUCUAACCUGGCAGCCAUGUUGAGCCUGUUCUGGUUCAGCAUUUGGCUGCUGAGCUAAUUGACAGGACCGAGGAGCACACUGAAAUGGACUGAAAGAUUUAGAACCAAUAUUAAUUAUUUUUUUUUCCAGCCUUACAGCUAAAGGUGACAUGGAUGGGCUGUAUGCCUGGUACCUAGCUGGUGCAGACCUGAAGCAAACUGGUUAUGAUGGCAGGAAUCCCCUAGAAGUAGCGGAGGCUACAGGGCUUAAGGACGUUCUUGACUUCUUUAGACAAAAGCAGUAAAGAAGAGAGCUCUGCCGAGGGCUUCGUCUCCCUCCGGGCAUGGCACAGGGCAGUGCCGUGGCCUCCCUCUUACUCGGACCUUAGAUGUAGCUGCCUGGUUCU
rnacentral:lncRNA from 1 species